rnacentral:tmRNA from 1 species
GGGGAUGAUCGGUUUCGACAUCGCCUGAGCGAGUCUGAGAAGCGGGCCGAGGAUGCGGGGUUAUCUCGUUAACGACCCUCGCAAAACAUAAGUGCCAAUUCCAACAGCACUGUCGCGGCCAAGGCCGACCUCGCCCUCGCGGCGUAGUCCUUCCUAGCCGGUAAACGACCGUCGCGCCGGUGACUCGCCUUCCACCCGGCCUCGGCGUCAUCUUGAAGGCUUGCUCGACCGUUACGCCUUAGGGCGGUUGGGGACUUGCACUAGGGCUGGGUUCGUCGAGGUGGUGGCCGCCACCUAGCCUCGGGACCGAGAAAAGCGAUAAGCGCGGCUGCACCCGGAGAAUGCGGACGACCACAGCGAUGGACGGGGGUUCAAUUCCCCCCAUCUCCACCA